GAUACGGAUGCGCCGAAGUUUAGAGAUUAGUCCAGACCUCCCCAUCGACGCCCAUCGCAUCCCCCAUCCGCCGCGUACUUCGCCGGCGCCCCCCUGACCUCCAUCACCUGCGAGCGAGCGAGCGACCAGCGGCGCCGGCCGCCUCCUGCUGCUUCCGCCGCGUACUCUCCCGCCCUCACUCCUUGCGCCUGAAAGUCGUCUUCUCAGCCUCGACCCCGUCCGUCGUCCGCGCCGAUCUCCAUCUAUCCGGUGGUGCCGUCGUCCUGCUGCUUCCGCCUCCGGACUAGGCAUCAGGCAUCAUGUCAGGAAGAGAGCGCCAUCCACGUCGUUUUAUUGAGGAUGGCAGGGGCUAUGCUGACAUUCGUGUAGUUGAUGAACAUAGGGGCUAUCGUGACAUCCGUGUAGUCGAGGAUUGUAGGGGCUACCCUGGCAUUCGUGUCAUUGAGGAUCAUAGGGGUUAUCCUGACAUCCGUGAAGGUCCUGUCAUGAGGGUGGCACAUCGCCCUCGCACACCUAUUUUGGAGGAAGAAAUUGAAAUUCAGGAGGCCGAAAUCAGGAGGCUUAUGGCAGAUCACCGUGCUCUUGGCGAUGAACAUUUGGCCUUACACCGAGAAUUACAAGCUGGAAAAGAUGAGAUCCGUCACUUGAACAUGAUCAUUGCGGACAUCAGUGCCAAAAAGGAAGUUUAUAUCACUGAGCUCGUUGACAAAAGGAGGAAGCUUGAAGCUGAACUUAGAGCAAAUGAGUCUUUAAGAGAUGAGGUUGUGCAGCUUCAGGGUGAAAUUGAUAAGCACAUUGUAGUUAGGAAAGAACUCUCUGCGAAGGCUGCAUCUAUUAUGCAUGAACUAACAAGGGAAAAUUCUAGUAAACAGCAGAUUCCUAUGUUGAAAGCAGAGAUCGAUGCCCUUCGACAGGAACUUGUUCAUGCAAGGACUGCAUGUGAACUAGAGAAGAAGGGAAAUUUCGAGUUGGUUGAACAGAAGAAAGCAAUGGAGAAGAGCAUGACUUCGAUGGCACAGGAAAUUGAACAAAUGCGAGCGGAAUUAGCUAAUUCUGAAGGGAGACCAUGGGGUCCUGGUGUGACAUAUGGGAUGAGGAUGGGAAGCCCUGAAGUGACCUUCGCUACUCCAUAUGGAGAUAACUACAAUAUCCACGCGGGAGCUUCUGAGAAAGGUUAUUCACAUAUUCCUGAAUCAAGCUCAUGGGGUGCAUAUGACAACAAUCGCCUUCAAUACCGUUAAGUUCGCAGCUGCUAUAAAAAAUGUCCAUGAAGAGAGAACCCUCCUGGGACCAAUGGUCAUAUCACAUGGUUUAAGUUGUCGUAUCUACCUCCUUGUUUGCGGUUGAAAUCCUAGUUGGUCAUUCCCUCUUGACUGAAGAUACGUUGUAUUCAUGCGAGAACAGGGAAAUCUGCUUCAAGAAAACAGUAAGAUGGGGUAUGCUUUGCCCCUGUUGAUGCCAAAGCUCCUUUAGCAGAUCAAUUAGGCUUCUAGGCAUGUGCUCUUUGAACAAUGGACAGAUCGACAUAUCUAAACUCUCUAUAAGCACUCAAGACAUGAAAUGUUUCAACAACAGGAGACAUGAGCAAAAUGUUAAUUCAACCAGAAAUGCAUUAGCAUGUACAGUAACAAUGCUUAAUGGACAAGAGUGUGAAGGAUAGUAGAUCUCGAUUCUGUACCAGGAAGCUGAAGAAACUUGCAGUUGUUUUGUACCCAUUGCUUACUGUUGUGAUAGUUUCCUUAUAUUGACGAUCAGAAGGGGGUUCUGUUGCAGAACAUAGGUUAUAGCUUGUCAAUUGUUGAUUUGAGCAGUGCCUGGCCUUCAGGAUUCCGAUUAUUGCAUCUGCAAGACAUUUAGCUGCUGGCACUUAGUUCUGAUAAGGGGUAAUGUGGUUGUUUCUUGUUUGGAUUUUGGAAUGUCUCCAUGUAGUCACCAUUUUUAUCUAGCAACAGUUCCGGUGAUCAGUACAGCUUCAGCUGCCAGCUUAUAAAGAUUACAAGUUUCUCUCAUCGUGUGCUGUAUUAAGGAAAUAUGAGGCAAGAACCGUUGAAGGGUUUGAACUGAAAGCUUUGUUUUACUCUAUUUGAUCGAAGCCAAGUUGCAGCGCUAUUGAUGGUGAUGGUUCUUAUGGAAAAUAAAGGGACUAAGAUAAGUCUCAUCAAUAUUCUUGAUAGCAAACUGAUAGUGUACUGUUCACCAUGCUUAUGGUGCUUCAUUUUGGAGUGGGGCUUUGUUGUAAGUGUUGUUUGAAGUGAAGAUCUCGCAGGCCACCAUGUGAUAUCACUCAAGCAUAUAAUACAACUGAAAUGAAGCGCUGUUGAGGUGGAAGGAGUUACACAGAAAGCACUUGGCAGUGAUUCAAACCGACUUUUACAAGAUGGGACCACAUUGUUCAUCCAAAGGAAACCAAGGUUUCUCCAUCUGCAGGACUGCAGAUACCACCUUGCAUGCAGUGUCUGCCUUACAUCAAAUGCAAUUUGGCAAGUUUUUUUUUUUUUGGGUGACUGACUCUAUUCAAUGGCUGGUUGUUUCCUGAAUCAACUAGACAAUACUGGUUUGGAUGUUUGCCAGAAGCAGCAUCUGGUGUUGCAGAGUGAGUGAGAAUGCCAGGUCCAAAUCGAUAGACUGCUAUUUGCAUGGUUCCAAGAUUUACUCUACGCAUCGCAUUUUUGCAUAUGACUGUUCCUACUUUUGAUACAAAGUUUGUGCGAACG